rnacentral:rRNA from 1 species
UACGGAGGGGACUAGCGUUGUUCGGAAUUACUGGGCGUAAAGCGCACGUAGGCGGAUUGUUUAGUCAGGGGUGAAAUCCCGAGGCUCAACCUCGGAACUGCCUUUGAUACUGGCAAUCUCGAGUCCGGAAGAGGUGAGUGGAAUUCCUAGUGUAGAGGUGAAAUUCGUAGAUAUUCGCAAGAACACCAGUGGCGAAGGCGGCUCACUGGCCCGGUACUGACGCUGAGGUGCGAAAGCGUGGGGAGCAAACAGG